rnacentral:rRNA from 1 species
GACGAACGCUGGCGGCGUGCUUAACACAUGCAAGUCGAGCGGUAAGGCCCUUUCGGGGGUACGACGAGCGGCGAACGGGUGAGUAACACGUGGGUGACCUGCCCUCAGCUCUGGGAUAAGCCUGGGAAACUGGGUCUAAUACUGGAUAUGACUCCACGGUGCAUGUCGUGGGGUGGAAAGCCUUGUGCGGCUGAGGAUGGGCCCGCGGCCUAUCAGCUUGUUGGUGGGGUGANGGCCUACCAAGGCGACGACGGGUAGCCGGCCUGAGAGGGCGACCGGCCACACUGGGACUGAGACACGGCCCAGACUCCUACGGGAGGCAGCAGUGGGGAAUCUUGCGCAAUGGGCGAAAGCCUGACGCAGCGACGCCGCGUGAGGGAUGACGGCCUCGGUUGUAACGUACUU